rnacentral:rRNA from 1 species
AAUAUUUAACAAUGGGCGAAAGCCUGAUCCAGCCAUGCCGCGUGUGUGAAGAAGGUCNNNGGUUUNUCAAGCACUUUAUGUUGNGAGNGAGGGCAGUACGUUAAUACCUUUCUGUUUAGACGUUACCGACAGAAAAAGCACCGGCGAAUUUCGUGCCAGCAGCCGCGGUAAUACGAAGGGUGCAAGCGUUAAUCGGAAUUACUGGGCGUAAAGCGCGCGUAGGUGGUUUGUUAAGUUGGAAGUGAAAGCACCGGGCUCAACCUGGGAACUGCUUUCAAAACUGGCAAGCUAGAGUAUGGUAGAGGGUGGUGGAAUUUCCUGUGUAGCGGUGAAAUGCGUAGAUAUAGGAAGGAACACCAGUGGCGAAGGCGACCACCUGGGCUAAUACUGACACUGAGGUGCGAAAGCGUGGGGAGCAAACA